rnacentral:rRNA from 1 species
UCCUACGGGAGGCAGCAGUGGGGAAUAUUGGACAAUGGGGGGAACCCUGAUCCAGCGACGCCGCGUGAGUGAAGAAGUAUUUCGGUAUGUAAAGCUCUAUCAGCAGGGAAGAAAGAAAUGACGGUACCUGACUAAGAAGCCCCGGCUAACUACGUGCCAGCAGCCGCGGUAAUACGUAGGUGGCAAGCGUUAUCCGGAUUUACUGGGUGUAAAGGGAGCGUAGACGGUUGUGCAAGUCUGAAGUGAAAGCCCGCGGCUCAACUGCGGAACGGCUUUGGAAACUGUGUAACUGGAGUGCUGGAGAG